rnacentral:rRNA from 1 species
CACGUAGGGCGCAAGCGUUGUCCGGAAUUAUUGGGCGUAAAGAGCUCGUAGGCGGUCUGUUGCGUCCGCUGUGAAAACUCGGGGCUUAACCCCGAGCCUGCAGUGGAUACGGGCAGACUAGAGUGCGGUAGGGGAGAUUGGAAUUCCUGGUGUAGCGGUGGAAUGCGCAGAUAUCAGGAGGAACACCCGUGGCGAAGGCGGCUCUCUGGGACGGUACUGACGCUGAGACGCGAAAGCGUGGGGAGCGAACAGG